GCUCUUGCUUGACUUCAGAUAACAUAAAUGAGUUUGAUGUUGGCUCAGUAGUCGCGAAACGCCUGCAAUCUACCCUCUAUUAUCCAAGUUCGCACGAGGCGAUCCGGCUAAUGAGUAAUGUAGAUACAGCUACUUGCAAACUUUGUGAACGAGAGCCGAAGCUCACUCACUUCAUGAUCUCAGAUGAGUGUUGUGGGUAUUUAUGUUAAAGAUACACUGAAGCAAACAUGCCUCUCGCCAGGCGGAGGCGCAAGUUGCUUUCGAAAUUCUAAUGACUCACGGCCUGCAAUUCGCAUUGCUUAUCGCACUUUGCUGCGUUCUUCCUCGAUAUGAGAGCCAAGACAUCCACCGUUGAAAAUUUUUGUUGUAAAUUAAGAGUUUUGUUCUGCUUACUCACGUGGAGCACAGGCUGAGAUUAGGUUAGUAUGUAUUUGUGAUUGAUCCUUCC
rnacentral:misc_RNA from 1 species